GAUGAACGCUGGCGGCGUGCCUAAUACAUGCAAGUCGAACGCUGGAAAUCUAGCUUGCUAGAUUGAAGGAGUGGCGAACGGGUGAGUAAUACAUAAGCAACCUACCCACGAAGACUGGGAUAAUCUCUGGAAACGGGGACUAAUACCGGAUAGGUAAUCGGAAGGCAUCUUCUGAUUAUUAAAGGUUAAAACCACUGGUGGAUGGGCUUAUGGCGCAUUAGUUAGUUGGUGAGGUAACGGCCCACCAAGACGAUGAUGCGUAGCCGGCCUGAGAGGGUGAACGGCCACAUUGGGACUGAGACACGGCCCAGACUCCUACGGGAGGCAGCAGUAGGGAAUUUUCGGCAAUGGGGGAAACCCUGACCGAGCAACGCCGCGUGAGUGAUGACGGCCUUCGGGGUGUAAAGCUCUGUUGUAAGGGAAGAACGGUAGAUAGAGAAUAUCUAAAUGACGGUACCUUACCAGAAAGCCACGGCUAACUACGUG
rnacentral:rRNA from 1 species